rnacentral:rRNA from 1 species
UACGAAGGGGGCUAGCGUUGCUCGGAAUCACUGGGCGUAAAGCGCACGUAGGCGGACUCUUAAGUCGGUGGUGAAAUCCUGGAGCUCAACUCCAGAACUGCCUUCGAUACUGGAAAGCUCGAGUCCGGGAGAGGUGAGUGGAACUGCGAGUGUAGAGGUGAAAUUCGUAGAUAUUCGCAAGAACACCAGUGGCGAAGGCGGCUCACUGGCCCGAUACUGACGCUGAGGCACGAAAGCGUGGGGAGCAAACAGG